rnacentral:rRNA from 1 species
CUACGGGACGCUCCAGUGGGGAAUAUUGCACAAUGGGGGAAACCCUGAUGCAGCAACGCCGCGUGGAGGAUGACGCAUUUCGGUGUGUAAACUCCUUUUAUAUCCCAAGAUAAUGACGGUAGGAUAUGAAUAAGCACCGGCUAACUCCGUGCCAGCAGCCGCGGUAAUACGGAGGGUGCAAGCGUUACUCGGAAUCACUGGGCGUAAAGGGCGCGUAGGCGGGUUGUCAAGUCUUGAGUGAAAUCCAACGGCUCAACCGUUGAACUGCUUGAGAAACUGGCAGCCUAGAGUGAGGGAGAGGUAGAUGGAAUUGGUGGUGUAGGGGUAAAAUCCGUAGAGAUCACCAGGAAUACCCAUUGCGAAGGCGAUCUGCUGGAACUCUACUGACGCUGAGACGCGAAAGCGUGGGGAGCAAACAGGAUUAGAUACCCCCGUAGUC